GAAGAAUGUUAGAUUGGAGAUAAGAUUAGAUAAGCUCAUAAUUUCAUCAUUGAAAUUAGAAUGAACAUUUUGAUUUAAUGGUCAAAAACAAAGUGGUGGUACAAAGGGCAAAACACUAGUAAAUUCCUUGUUUGAAAAGAGAUCAUUUUGGUCUAUAUAGGAGACUGGUGGUUCCCUUCCGAUGAAGUCAUCUUUCACCAACUUAAUUAAGGGAGAAAAGUCUAUAUCCGGGUAUUUAUUGUAAUUAAAAAACAAAACUUUUCAUUCUUGGUCAAAACCUUAUCAUUUUAAGAUGACUGAUAUCUUUUAUUCCAACCAAGUCU
rnacentral:misc_RNA from 1 species